CUCACCUCUUCAUCUCCCAGAA
rnacentral:sRNA from 1 species